rnacentral:rRNA from 1 species
CAGGUGCUGCAUGGCUGUCGUCAGCUCGUGUCGUGAGAUGUUGGGUUAAGUCCCGCAACGAGCGCAACCCUCGCCCUUAGUUGCCAGCAUUCAGUUGGGCACUCUAAGGGGACUGCCGGUGAUAAGCCGAGAGGAAGGUGGGGAUGACGUCAAGUCCUCAUGGCCCUUACGGGCUGGGCUACACACGUGCUACAAUGGUGGUGACAGUGGGCAGCGAAGGAGCGAUCCCGAGCUAAUCUCCAAAAGCCAUCUCAGUUCGGAUUGCACUCUGCAACUCGAGUGCAUGAAGUUGGAAUCGCU